rnacentral:misc_RNA from 1 species
UCCCCGUUACCGAGGCAGUCUGGCUAGAAAAAUCCAACUAACCAUAAGGGUUGCGCUCGUUGAUGGACUUAACCAAACAUCUCACGACACGAGCUGAAGACGGCCAUGCAUCACCUGUCACUAGGUUCCCUAAGGGCACUCUCGCCUUUCGGCAAAAUUCCUAGGAUGUCAAACCCUGGUAAGGUUCUAGGCUUAUCAUCCGAUUGAUCAACACGCUCCACCGCUUGUGCGGGUCCCCGUCAAUUCCUUUGAGUUUUAAUCUUGCGACCGUACUCCUCAGGCGGGAUGCUUAACGCGUUAGCUUCGCUACUGACCGGGUCGAUACGGUCAACAGCUAGCAUCCAUAGUUUACGGCGUGGACUAC